rnacentral:RNase_P_RNA from 1 species
UUAUCCAUUCUAGGAAAUCGCUCGUUUAAAAAUUUAAAUUGAGAGGAAAGUCUGAACUCUAUUUCGGUCCCGUAUGUCUUAUAGAUAACGGGAUAGGUACCUUAAAGUCUACUUGCUUUAUGCUUAGUAGAAAAAGAGGCUGGGAGCAAUCUUAGGGUAUAAACUCAUCGAGGAAUCUAAGAGGGCAACAGAAAAAUACUGCCAUGUACCUUGGUAUAUGGUGAUGGUGAAAUGGUGGUGUAAGAGACCACCGGCUCUUCUGGUAACAAAAGAGUGCUGGUAACCCCUACCUAGAGCAAGUUGAUUUAACCAACGCAUAGAUAGAUGAUUUCCAUCCCGAUUUAUCGGGAGACAGGAUUCGGCUUAUUGAAUGGAUAAAAAA